AGCACUUGUGUUUUUGUUCCACUGGUGGACAAAGGCAGGGAAGACAGAUGCAAAAAUAAUACCUCUUUUGUAACUCAAUACUCAUUAUUCGGUAUAAAUUUUGAUACAUACAAAAAGGAAAACG
ensembl:snoRNA predicted gene, 25151